ensembl:snRNA U2 U2 spliceosomal RNA
AUUGCUUCUUGGCCUUCUGGAUUAGAGUAAGGGCAGUAUCUGUUUUUAUCAGAUUAAUAUUUAGUAUGUCCUCUACCUGAGGACAAUAUACUAAAUGGAUUUUUGGAGCAGGGAGGUGGAGUACGAGUUGCUUCAUCCACCUCACACACCGACCUAAUCUUUCAGGACCUCCAGAAAUGGUGUAUCUGCU